rnacentral:rRNA from 1 species
AGAGUAUGCUACGGAGGGCAGCAGUGGGGAAUAUUGCACAAUGGGGGAAACCCUGAUGCAGCGACGCCGAGUGAGGGAAGAAGGUUUUCGGAUUGUAAACCUCUGUCCUUGGUGAAGAUAAUGACGGUAACCAAGGAGGAAGCUACGGCUAACUACGUGCC